UACGUAGGGGGCUAGCGUUGUCCGGAAUCAUUGGGCGUAAAGCGCGCGUAGGCGGCCCGGUAAGUCCGCUGUGAAAGUCAAAGGCUCAACCUUUGAAUGUCAGCGGAUACUGCCGGGCUAGAGUCCGGAAGAGGCGAGUGGAAUUCCUGGUGUAGCGGUGGAAUGCGCAGAUAUCGUUUGGAACGCCAAUGGUGAAAACAGCUAGCUGGGGAUGUGCCGACGCUGAGACACGAAAGCCAGGGGAGCGAACGGG
rnacentral:rRNA from 1 species